UACGGGGGGAGCAAGCGUUGUUCGGAUUUACUGGGCGUAAAGGGCGCGUAGGCGGCCAGCACAAGUCAGUUGUGAAAUCUCCGGGCUUAACUCGGAAAGGUCAACUGAUACUGUGCGGCUAGAGUGCAGAAGGGGCAACUGGAAUUCUCGGUGUAGCGGUGAAAUGCGUAGAUAUCGGGAGGAACACCGGUGGCGAAGGCGGCGACCUGGGUAGAUACUGACGCUGAGGCGCGAAAGCGUGGGGAGCAAACAGG
rnacentral:rRNA from 1 species